rnacentral:rRNA from 1 species
GUUCGUACUAGCGAGCCCACCUCCCACCCGUGUUUACUGUACCUUAGUUGCUUCGGCGGGCCCGCCAUUCGUGGCCGCCGGGGGCUCUCAGCCCCGGGCCCGCGCCCGCCGGAGACACCACGAACUCUGUCUGAUCUAGUGAAGUCUGAGUUGAUUGUAUCGCAAUCAGUUAAAACUUUCAACAAUGGAUCUCUUGGUUCCGGCAUCGAUGAAGAACGCAGCGAAAUGCGAUAACUAGUGUGAAUUGCAGAAUUCCGUGAAUCAUCGAGUCUUUGAACGCACAUUGCGCCCCCUGGUAUUCCGGGGGGCAUGCCUGUCCGAGCGUCAUUGCUGCCCAUCAAGCACGGCUUGUGUGUUGGGUCGUCGUCCCCUCUCCGGGGGGGACGGGCCCCAAAGGCAGCGGCGGCACCGCGUCCGAUCCUCGAGCGUAUGGGGCUUUGUCACCCGCUCUGUAGGCCCGGCCGGCGCUUGCCGAACGCAAAUCAAUCUUUUCCAGGUUGACCUCGGAUCAGGUAAGGGAAA